GAUGAACGCUGGCGGCGUGCCUAAUACAUGCAAGUCGAGCGAACAGACGAGGAGCUUGCUCCUCUGACGUUAGCGGCGGACGGGUGAGUAACACGUGGAUAACCUACCUAUAAGACUGGGAUAACUUCGGGAAACCGGAGCUAAUACCGGAUAAUAUAUUGAACCGCAUGGUUCAAUAGUGAAAGACGGUUUUGCUGUCACUUAUAGAUGGAUCCGCGCCGGAUUAGCUAGUUGGUAAGGUAACGGCUUACCAAGGCGACGAUGCGUAGCUGGCCUGAGAGGAUGAUCAGCCAAACUGGAACUGAGACACGGUCCAGACUCCGACGGGAGGGAGCAGUGGGGAAGAGUGGACAAUGGGCGCAAGCCUGAUCCAGCCAUACCGCGUGGGUGAAGAAGGCCUUCGGGUUGUAAAGCCCUUUUGUUGGGAAAGAAAAGCAGCAGGUUAAUACCCCGCUGUUCUGACGGUGCCCAAAGAAGAAGCACCGGCUAACUUCGUG
rnacentral:rRNA from 1 species